rnacentral:lncRNA from 1 species
UUUUACAGAGUUUACCUUAUUGACUAUGGCUGCUUUUGUACUACAAUGGAAGAGUUGAGUAGGCACAGGAGUCCAAAGGGUUUGCAAAUUCCAAAAAUGUUUACCAUCUGAGGCUUUAUAGAACCUAUUCUGAUCUCUGCUCUACAGUAAGCAGGUCUCCUGCAGUUUGGUGGAGGUCCACUCCAGACCCUGUUUGCCUGGGUAUCACCAGCAGAGGCUGUGGAACAGCAAAGAUUGCUGCCUGCUCCUUCCUAUGGAAGCCUUGCCCCAGAGGGGCACUGGCCUGAUGCCAGCUGGAGCUCUCCUGUAUGAGGAAUAAACUUGCCAUGUCUUCUAGGAAAGAAGUGAUGCUGAGUCUGAAUACACAGUAAAAGCCAAGCAACACUACUGGUCUUGCAAUCUCAAAAGGAAGAGUGAGACUUUUUACAUAAUUUAAUUAUUGAAGAUUUCAUUGGCAAAAUUAAAAACAAAAAUUCUG